rnacentral:rRNA from 1 species
CACGUAGGGUGCGAGCGUUGUCCGGAAUUAUUGGGCGUAAAGAGCUCGUAGGCGGUGUGUCGCGUCGGCCGUGAAAACCUGCAGCUUAACUGUGGGCUUGCGGUCGAUACGGGCAUCACUGGAGUUCGGCAGGGGAGACUGGAAUUCCUGGUGUAGCGGUGAAAUGCGCAGAUAUCAGGAGGAACACCGGUGGCGAAGGCGGGUCUCUGGGCCGAUACUGACGCUGAGGAGCGAAAGCGUAGGGAGCGAACAGG